UACGUAGGGGGCAAGCGUUGUCCGGAUUUAUUGGGCGUAAAGAGCGUGUAGGCGGCCAUACAGGUCCGUUGUGAAAACUGGAGGCUCAACCUCCAGACGUCGACGGAAACCGUGUGGCUAGAGUCCGGAAGAGGAGAGUGGAAUUCCUGGUGUAGCGGUGAAAUGCGCAGAUAUCAGGAAGAACACCAAUGGCGAAGGCAGCUCUCUGGGACGGUACUGACGCUGAGACGCGAAAGCGUGGGGAGCGAACAGG
rnacentral:rRNA from 1 species